rnacentral:snRNA from 1 species
CCAUGAUAUAGACAAGGGGC